ACCGAGAUUCCCUUAGUAGUGGCGAGCGAACGGGGACCAGCCCUUAAGUUGAUUUGAGAUUAGUGGAACGCUCUGGAAAGUGCGGCCAUAGUGGGUGAUAGCCCCGUACACGAAAAUCUCUUGUCAAUGAAAUCGAGUAGGACGGAGCACGAGAAACUUUGUCUGAAUAUGGGGGGACCAUCCUCCAAGGCUAAAUACUACUGACUGACCGAUAGUGAACCAGUACCGUGAGGGAAAGGCGAAAAGAACCCCGGAGAGGGGAGUGAAAUAGAACCUGAAACCGUAUGCGUACAAGCAGUGGGAGCCUACUUUGUUAGGUGACUGCGUACCUU
rnacentral:rRNA from 1 species